UACAGAGGUCUCAAGCGUUGUUCGGAUUCAUUGGGCGUAAAGGGUGCGUAGGCGGCGCGGUAAGUCGGGUGUGAAAUCUUGGAGCUUAACUCCGAAACUGCAUUCGAUACUGCCGUGCUUGAGGACUGGAGAGGAGACUGGAAUUCACGGUGUAGCAGUGAAAUGCGUAGAUAUCGUGAGGAAGACCAGUGGCGAAGGCGGGUCUCUGGACAGUUCCUGACGCUGAGGCACGAAGGCCAGGGGAGCAAACGGG
rnacentral:rRNA from 1 species